rnacentral:rRNA from 1 species
UGCCCCCUAAAUUCUAAUCCGUAAAUCCAAUAACACUAAAGUUAUUGCUGGUUUCCCACAUCCGACACGUUCCCAAAUCCUAGAUUUUAAUUUUCCCCCUUGGGGAGGAAUCCACCGAGUGUUAAGCUCAAAGAACUUGACGGCGGCCCAGCGCAAACGGUGGAGUAUGUGGUUUAAUUCGAUGCAACAGGAAGAACCUUACCAGGACUUGACAUGUCGCGAAUCCUACGGAAACGUGGGAGUGCCUUCGGGAACGCGAACACAGGUGGGUCAUGGCUGUCGUCAGCUCGUGUCGUGAGAUGUUGGGUUAAGUCCCGCAACGAGCGCAACCCUCGUCCUGAUUUGUCAGCAUUCAGUUGGGCACUCUAGGGAGACUGCCGGUGACAAACCGGAGGAAGGUGGGGAUGACGUCAAGUCAUC